rnacentral:rRNA from 1 species
UGGGGAAUAUUGGACAAUGGGCGCAAGCCUGAUCCAGCCAUGCCGCGUGAGUGAUGAAGGCCCUAGGGUUGUAAAGCUCUUUCACCGGUGAAGAUAAUGACGGUAACCGGAGAAGAAGCCCCGGCUAACUUCGUGCCAGCAGCCGCGGUAAUACGAAGGGGGCUAGCGUUGUUCGGAUUUACUGGGCGUAAAGCGCACGUAGGCGGACUAUUAAGUCAGGGGUGAAAUCCCGGGGCUAAACCCCGGAACUGCCUUUGAUACUGGUAGUGUUGAGUUCGAGAGAGGUGGGUGGAAUUCCGAGUGUAGAGGUGAAAUUGGUAGAUAUUCGGAGGAACACCAGUGGGAAAGGCGGCUCACUGGCUCGAUACUGACGCUGAGGUGCGAAAGCGUGGGGAGCAAACAGG